CUUUACCCGGCUUGGAACUUAAGCAUAUCAAUAAGCGGAGGAAAAGAAACCAACAGGGAUUGCCUUAGUAACUGCGAGUGAAGCGGCAAAAGCUCAAAUUUGAAAUCUGUGCCCUCAAGGGCACCGAGUUGUAACCUUGAGAUACGUUUUCGACCGACAGGCCUGCCUUAAGUUCCUUGGAACAGGACGUCACAGAGGGUGAGAAUCCCGUGAACGGUAGGCCUCGAGGCGCAUGAUACGUAUUCGACGAGUCGAGUUGUUUGGGAAUGCAGCUCAAAGUGGGUGGUAAAUUUCAUCUAAAGCUAAAUAUUGGGGAGAGACCGAUAGCGCACAAGUAGAGUGAUCGAAAGAUGAAAAGCACUUUGAAAAGAGAGUUAAAAAGUACGUGAAAUUGUUGAAAGGGAAGCGCUUGAGACCAGACUCAAUCUCCGUUGAUCAACUUCAGUUCUCUGUUGUGCACUCGGCGGCUUUUGGGACAGCAUCGGUUCCCGCGGAGGGACAAAGCCUCAGGAAAUGUGGCACCCUUCGGGGUGUGUUAUAGUCCUCUGGGCAAUGCCUCCAGCGGGGACCGAGGACCGCGCUCCGGCUAGGAUGCUGUCAUAAUGGUCUCCAGCGACCCGUCUUGAAACACGGACCAAGGAGUCUAACAUCUAUGCGAGUGUUCGGGUGGAAAACCCUUGCGCGUAAUGAAAGGAACGAGGAA
rnacentral:rRNA from 1 species